rnacentral:rRNA from 1 species
AGCAGCCGCGGUAAUUCCAGCUCCAAUAGCGUAUAUUAAAGUUGUUGCAGUUAAAAAGCUCGUAGUUGAAUUUCGGGGUCAGUAGAUUGGUCAUGCCAUUGGUAUGUACUGGUCUUACUGGCUCCUCUUCCUGAUGGACCGUAAUGCCAUUAAUUUGGUGUUGCGGGGAGACUGGACUGUUACUUUGAAAAAUUGAGUGUUUAAAGCAGGCUAACGCUUGAAUACAUUAGCAUGGAAUAAUGAAAUAGGACUUCGAUCUUAUUUGUGGUUUCUAAGAUUGACGUAAUGAUUAAUAGGGAUAGUUGGGGCAUUAGUAUUCAAUUGUCAGAGGUGAAAUUCUUGGAUUUAUUGAAGACUAACUACUGACGAAAG